rnacentral:rRNA from 1 species
AUUGAACGCUGGCGGCAUGCCUUACACAUGCAAGUCGAACGGCAGCGGACCUUCGGGUGCCGGCGAGUGGCGAACGGGUGAGUAAUGCAUCGGAACGUACCUUUCAGUGGGGGAUAACGUAGCGAAAGUUACGCUAAUACCGCAUAUUCUGUGAGCAGGAAAGCAGGGGAUCGCAAGACCUUGCGCUGAUUGAGCGGCCGAUGUCAGAUUAGCUAGUUGGAGAGGUAAAGGCUCACCAAGGCGACGAUCUGUAGCGGGUCUGAGAGGAUGAUCCGCCACACUGGAACUGAGACACGGUCCAGACUCCUACGGGAGGCAGCAGUGGGGAAUUUUGGACAAUGGGGGCAACCCUGAUCCAGCCAUGCCGCGUGAGUGAUGGAGGCCUUCGGGUUGUAAAGCUCUUUCGGCCGGGAAGAAAUCGCACGGGCUAAUACCCUGUGUGGAUGACGGUACCGGAAUAAGAAGCACCGGCUAACUACGUGCCAGCAGCCGCCGUAAUAC